AUUGAACGCUGGCGGCAGGCCUAACACAUGCAAGUCGAACGGUAACAGGAAACAGCUUGCUGUUUCGCUGACGAGUGGCGGACGGGUGAGUAAUGUCUGGGAAACUGCCUGAUGGAGGGGGAUAACUACUGGAAACGGUAGCUAAUACCGCAUAACGUCGCAAGACCAAAGAGGGGGACCUUCGGGCCUCUUGCCAUCGGAUGUGCCCAGAUGGGAUUAGCUAGUAGGUGGGGUAACGGCUCACCUAGGCGACGAUCCCUAGCUGGCCUGAGAGGAUGACCAGCCACACUGGAACUGAGACACGGUCCAGACUCCUACGGGAGGCAGCAGUGGGGAAUAUUGCACAAUGGGCGCAAGCCUGAUGCAGCCAUGCCGCGUGUAUGAAGAAGGCCUUCGGGUUGUAAAGUACUUUCAGCGGGGAGGAAGGGAGUAAAGUUAAUACCUUUGCUCAUUGACGUUACCCGCAGAAGAAGCACCGGCUGACUCCGUG
rnacentral:rRNA from 1 species